GUACAAGAUCCUUGUGUAUUUAAUGUAAACAGGAUAAGCACAGAACUAAAUGCUUUUUUUAGACAUUGUUUCAGUUGUUUUUUUCAAUGAAGAAAAUAAUAAGUAAACUGUUACUUUGCAAUUGCUUUUAAAUGCAAAGUAGAUCUCACUUGGAACAUUUUGAACAAGAUGAGUUGUACAGCAAAUACCUAGAGGCUUCUAUUUGAAGGGCUGAUAAAGUAGGCUUUGAAUGUGAAUGAAAGCAAUUGUUAUUUUUUGCAGUGUAAAAUAAGUGAAACUUGAAGAGCAAGCUUUGUGAAGAAGUUGGUUUUAGUAGUAGUAUUUGGUGGUGCUUAAUUACCAGCUUUAUUAAAUACAGAGUUAGAAAAAACUGUAUUGAAUGAUCAGUUCACUCUUCUCUCUGCAAUACAAGAUUGUCUUCACAGCUGAGUUCUGGAGUCUGUCACGGGCAGUGUAAUGUAAUAACAGUGUAAUAACUGUAUCAUAGUCAUGUAGUUGCAUUAAAAGAUAAGACCUGAUAUAAUAAUUUAUAUGUUAAAAAAUGCAAAUAGCUUUUUUCAGUAAACUUAAUCUAGGAAGGCUAUUUAAUUCUGAAUAUGUAACUUACUGGAGUUUUGAUAAAGGAUGAGGCUCUUAAAGUAUCAGAUAUUAUCACUAACAAGGAACAUGGAGCAUUCAUCAGCAGAAUAUAAUCUAGAUUUUCUGAAUACUGUCCCAUUCUGGGGAAAACAAAAUGUUUUUCCUGUCAACACAAAAGGUUCAGCAAACUGGACCUAUCCCAUGAGAAAAGUUGAUGAUAUUUCUGAGAACUAUUGAUAAUAGUUUUGGUGAAGCAGCAUCAUAUGCACUGCUUUUCUGUUACUACUGGGUACUUACUAAGCUGCCUGUUAACAAGCAGUAGUUGUGCAAUUUAUGGGCACGUUGACAUAUUUUUCAGCCUUCUAACAUGUAGAAAAUGAAAAUAUCUUCAUCCUUAAGAGACACUUGGAUGAGAGUUAGCUGAUGGUAACCAUUCAGGAGUUGUUUCACACUGAGGUAUUUCACUACCCAUUUUCAGUCUGUGUGUGUCAUAAGAUAGAAUAGUGCACCUGGAGUAAUGGAUAAGCUGUUUCAAAAUGAAAUUUGAAUAAACAAAAUAAUAAUUUAAAUAAUAGUCAGUAUUCCUAGGAAUUGAAGCAAAUUUGACUAGUGAGAUUCAAAUGGAAAUACUGAAACAAGCAACUAAUUUCAUUAGCAACACCUAAUUAAUUCUAAGGAAACUGUCUGGAGAAGGAAUGAGCAUAGGAGGACUGGGAAUAUGCAUACAAGUGGGAACAAAUUUCUCUGGCCUGCAGGUGGUGCAGUCUUUCACAGCCUGGUUAUCCAUCCCAGGUAACAGUCAGUGUUCCAUCUGUAGCAGUUUUUCUUAGGAUGACCAGGUGUGUGUACAGUGACCCCAUCAUUGUGCUGAGCUCCUCUGGCAAAGUAUCUGCAAAAAGAGCUGUUCCCACAAUGUUUCAGUAUUGGGUUAAAAAGAAGGCAGUCAGCCUAAAGCACUUGGCCUCUGUUGUAACUGAAUUUCAGACAAAAAGCAUGGCAAGUUUGGUGCUAAAAAAAAAAAGUCUGGUGUAAUAGACAUGAAAUUGUCAUCUUAAGAGUGUGAAUGUGAUAGCUCUUAUAGGGGACUGUUAGAAAGCUCCUAUUACAAGGUAAGUUUAAAGAAAUAGUUUUUCACCUAAGUCUGGGAUUGUUUGGUCCGGAGAAGAAGAGGCUCACAGGAGCUCUCAACAACUCCCUGAAAGGAGGUUGUGGCAAGGUGGGGGUUGUCCCAAAUAAGAGCAAUAAGUUAAGAGGAAAUGGCCUCAGGUUGUACCAGGGGAGGUUCAGGUUGGAUAUUAGGAAGAAUUUGUCAGGAAGAGUGGUGUGGCAUUUGAACAAGCUGCCCAGGGAGGUGGUGGAGUCCCCAUCCCUGCACGUGUUCCAGGAAAGGGUAGAUGUAGCACUGAGGGACGUGGGUUAGUGGGCAAUGUUGGCAGUAGGUGAAUGGUUGGACUAGGUGAUCAUAGAAGUCUUUUCCAACCUUAAUGAUUCUAUUAUUCAAGCUGCAACAGUGAAAUGUCAAAAUUUGCGUAUGAGAAUGAGAAAAAUGUCUCCAAAGAUCACGCUGAUGAAAAGUCAGAGGACAGGUACUUUUGUGUGUGCAGGUCUAGUCUCAGUUGCUUCUUGCUGAGGUAUACUUUGUGAAGGAUGCUUGCUAUUAAAUCUGAAAUCGUAAAGAAAAGAAAAA